rnacentral:rRNA from 1 species
UACGUAGGGGGCGAGCGUUGUCCGGAUUUACUGGGCGUAAAGCGCUUGUAGGCGGCCACGCCAGGUCGGUGGGGAAAUCUCCCGGCUUAACUGGGAGGGGUCAUGCGAUACUGGCGGGCUAGAAGCAGGUAGGGGGAAGCGGAAUUCCCGGUGUAGUGGUGGAAUGCGUAGAUAUCGGGAGGAACACCAGUGGCGAAGGCGGCUUCCUGGACCUGUUCUGACGCUGAGGAGCGAAAGCGUGGGGAGCGAUCCGG